rnacentral:tRNA from 1 species
GCGCAGGUGAUGGAAUUGGUAGACGUACGGCGCUCAGAACGCCGGGCCCGAGCGGGCGUGAGGGUUCGAGUCCCUCUCUGCGCA